GCCUUUGGCCGGAGGCCUGUGCUAGGUCCUAGGGCUGCAGCGGUGGGUAUAGCAGGGGGCGUCUAGAUAAGGGACGAGCAAAGUGGUAGGGCAGGGAGAGCCUGGGUCCCCGCGGCAGCCCCGAGUGAACCCGACGUAUUUUCCUUAUAUGAUCAGGCCUCUCGCAGCCGGCGCUGCUGGUCUGGAGCCUGAGAGGAUUAUGAAAACGUGGCAGGGUUACCUGCUGAUCUGGAACUCGCUUUAUAGACUAGGCUAGGAAUUAUGUGAUUCGCCAAAAUGCUGGGAUUAAACACACCUGGGUUUAA